UCCAUGUCCCCUUCAGCCUCCCCACCUCUCCUACCCCCCACCACAAUCGGUUCCUAACCUCACCCAAUCUAAACCUAAUCUCUCACCCCCAGCCCUUACAACCCAGUUCCCCACCUGAUCACAGCAUCGCGGCGGAUUUGUUGCUUUAAUCCACCGCGACCUAGGGUGUCCUCCACUAUCUGAGCUAGAUCGUGGUGGAUCGAGUGAGAUCACAAAGCAAUCGCAUUCUUCUGUCACGAUCUGGCCGAUUCUGGUUUGUAGUUAAUUUUUUUCUUCAGUCCCUCCUCAAAUGGCGACCAAGCAGCAGUUGAUUUUUUUUUUCUUUUUUGGUUGUUAGGUAAAUAAGAAAUUGGUGACGAUCGAUCACAUUUGGGUUUUUUUUUUUUUUUUUCUUAAAAUUCAAUAUUCCUUGUCAUCGAUCUCACCAGUUUUUUAUUCUCCUAACACCCAAAUGUCAUGGAAGGCCUCUUAUGACGACUGUAAAGAUGUUGUUGAAGCAAAUAAUACUUUUUUUUCUUUCACUGUCAGUAUACUUUGUGUUUUACUUGAGUAUUUCUUUUUAAUUAAUUUUGUAUCGACAUAGUUUGUGUUUUACAACUAUCAACUGAUUGUGUAGUAUGUUUGUUGCUAAGUGUGUCUGCAAUCUAUGGAACUUUAUGAGAUGGAAUCCUUUGCGAAUAGGAGAAGGAAGUUCUGCUAUAAGGACAGUAAAAUACUGCCUCAUUCUUCGCAAAUUCAAAUUGAUAUUUUUGCUGUUUAGUUACUUUUAGCUUAAAGAUUUUGUUGAAGCAAACAAAUACUGCUUCUAUGAGUAUACUUAUAGCAUUUUUUGUGUUGCAACAGAUAUUCAUGUCAAUUCUGUAUUAUAUUUCACAUCCAUUCUAUACUAUUUAAUACUCAUCUGAUUGUUGUAAUUCUUUAGCUUUAAGUUGGGAGCAUUUUAUUUUGAUUUUGGAGGAGCAUUUUAUUUUGAUUUUGGAGGAGCAUGCUGUAAGAUUUUAGUUGCUUCAAUUUUUGCAAAUUCAAAUUGAUAUUUUUGCUGUUUAGUUACUUUUAGCUUAAAGAUUUUGUUGAAGCAAAUACUGAUUCUAUGAGUAUACUUAUAGCAUUUUUUGCGUUGCAACAGAUAUUCAUGUCAAUUCUGUAUUAUAUUUCACAUCCAUUCAAUACUAUUUAAUACUCAUCUGAUUGUUGUAAUUCUUUAGCUUUAAGUUGGGAGCAUUUUAUUUUGAUUUUGGAGGAGCAUGCUGUAAGAUUUUAGUUGCUUCAAUUUUCAGUUGAUAUCAUCUUUGUCAGCCUGCUUUGUGUAAUUAAGAUUUUGUUGAAAGUUAGUUGAGUUGCAAAUUUGAUAGAACUUCUUUCGCAAGAAUUUACCUUUAUAACUUUUUCUGCUUGCCCGUUUGAAUCCUUAAAACCAUUUUCCUAUUUGCUUCAUCACUGCUUGUUUUGUUUUAUCUAGCAAUAUUUAUAUUUAGUUUCUUUGUGGUUGUUAUAGCUCUGAUUUAUCUAGUAUAUUUGUAUUACUUUUACAGGUUCCUUUUACUCUCGUUCAAAGGUGGUCUGAUUAUUCGUCUGAUUAUCUUGUUGUGGACAUGCAUGGCUCUAAAGAUCUUUAUACAUUUAUUCAGGCAAUUAACACAAUUUUUGGUUAUAGGUGCCCUAUAAGAUCAGAUGUUGUGAAGUUUAAAGUUUCUUGUACAUUUCUUGAGGAAAUUAAGACAAAUUGUGGUUAUGGGUGGCCUGUAAAGUCAGAUAUUGUCAAGCCUAAAUUUGAUUAAUAGCAUUUUCUCUUUCUUCUUAUUUGUUCAUUUUUAUUACUAACUGUAUGAUAUUCUACUUUGUUUGCUUGUUGAAGGUUGGUUUGAUUGGUUCUGAGGAAAUUCUUCCACGGGAAAAAAUAUCAAUGGCAUUGGCAGCGGUUUCAAAAAUGUAAUCCUUGAGAUCCAGUCAGACAAUGAUCUUCCCUAUUUUUUGACUAAGAUGACUAAGGAUCAGAUGGUAGCAGAUCUUGCCUAACGGUCAAAAGUAAGCUUCUGGGUAUGUAUAGUUUUGUGGUUUGCUGGCUGCUGGUAUCCUUGGGUAUAUUUUCAGAGGUGGAUUGCAACAACCAAUCCAAGCUCUCAGAUGAUGCCAAUGCUGGACACAAGCAACUCUAUUUGAUCUGCUUCAUGAAGACGAGGACUCGUGCAUUUGGAUGUGGGCAUUACGUUUCUUGCCACCAAUGUGCCAUAGUAGCAAUUGAAAAUGAACAUGGGUGUCUCACUUGUCACAUGCCAAGCCAUAGUUUGCUGUAGUUAAGUUUCCCUUAAGGUUGGAGUUUGGUAAGAUUCAAUGCGCAUGUAUUAGUCAUCGGGAAAUUUUUGUCAACAUGCUUCAUUUGAUAGCUCUUGAAAGCUCCAGGAAGUGGUGACUACUAAUUUGGAGCAGCUGAUUGCUGUCUUGGACAAAGUUACAAACAAUUGUUACAGAAUAAAUAACAAGCCCAUGUACUUGU